rnacentral:rRNA from 1 species
UACGGGGGGGAGCAAGCGUUGUUCGGAUUUACUGGCGUAAAGGGCGCGUAGGCGGUCAGCACAAGUCAGUUGUGAAAUCUCCGGGCUUAACUCGGAAAGGUCAACUGAUACUGUGCGACUAGAGUGCAGAAGGGGCAACUGGAAUUCUCGGUGUAGCGGUGAAAUGCGUAGAUAUCGAGAGGAACACCUGCGGCGAAGGCGGGUUGCUGGGCUGACACUGACGCUGAUGCGCGAAAGCCAGGGAGCGAAGCGGG